CAUGUAUGUCUGUGAGAAGGUGUCAGUUCUUGAAGCUGCAGACAGCUGUGAGCUGCCACGUGGGUCCUGGGAUUUGAACCCAGGUCCUCUGGAAGAGCAGCUAGUGCUCUUAACUGUUCAGUCGUUUCUCCAGCCCCCUGCAAACCAAUUCUUACCCACAUGUUUAUAUUUCGAAGAUAACGGGAGAGAGCGGAGCUGUGCAGGUCCGAACUGUGACAGCCUGGUCCUCCGUUCAGCGUCUCCUCACUCUGGAAGGAGUUUGAGCACAGCACAUGGAAAUGCUUAGAGUCCAGACAUUCAUGGUGAAAAUCCCUGGAAAAUGUGCUUGCGCAGCGCCACGGGUCCAGGAAAACCCCACAUGGGCUCCCCAAGGUCUGUGGAUGUUUAUGUUCCGCUGCCCCAGCCUCCAGCCCCCACACCUCGGGAAUGGGGAACUUUGUCCCCGAAGGAUUGCACCACGGGCACCCAGCCUUUCCACUUUCACUUCUCCACCGGCUUCCCGACCGGCUUCCCGUCCUCACAGGAUCUGCUUCACUGGGCCUCUUUGGGCCCAAAACCAUUUAAUUGCUAGGGAGUUACAUGCUAUGAACAAGAGUUUGUGAGUUACAAGCAGACCACCCAGAUUCGGGUCCCGAUUCAGCACCUGCCAGAAUGUAGGGCCCUGGGAAAUUCAUCUCAUUUGUGAUAAAGGGACAAUGACAGACACAGUGAAAUAGGACAGUGACAACCCUCUCUUAUAAUUGGAGCCUGGGGGAGAGUAAAUGACAUGGUCAGUAUCUAUCAACCGGAGCCCACUACCAAGAGGCGGCUAUUGGUGAUCAUGACUGGUGUUAUGUGGCCCACUGAUCGGCUGGGUGGAAGGCCUGUCAACCAGGGGCUGGAUCUUUAUCCAGUUCCCCUUCUCAUCCCAGGGCACAUUUUCACUCAGGAAUUUGAACCACGAGUCACCCAGGAAAAGGGGUACCUAUUAGUGGUAUUACCUGAGAGACCAUAAGAUGGACUUCACUGUUGAUCACAUUCUGAGAAGCUGCCACUCAACAAUCCUGCAAGAUGAGAAGGGAACCUAGAUGCUUCCACUGUCAUUUGCCCUUCCUUCAGGUCUCUGUUGGUGCACUUAACCUCAAUGAAAGCCAAAGGCCAAGGAAGCACUACCAUCCUGAAAAGAGUUGAAGGAAGGUGUGUGUGUGUGUGUGUGUGUGUGUAUGUGUGAUCAAAAUGCAUUGCAUACA